rnacentral:rRNA from 1 species
AGUGAACGCUGGCGGUAGGCCUAACACAUGCAAGUCGAACGGCAGCACAGUAAGAGCUUGCUCUUACGGGUGGCGAGUGGCGGACGGGUGAGGAAUACAUCGGAAUCUACUUUUUCGUGGGGGAUAACGUAGGGAAACUUACGCUAAUACCGCAUACGACCUACGGGUGAAAGCAGGGGAUCUUCGGACCUUGCGCGAUUGAAUGAGCCGAUGUCGGAUUAGCUAGUUGGCGGGGUAAAGGCCCACCAAGGCGACGAUCCGUAUCUGGUCUGAGAGGAUGAUCAGCCACACUGGCACUGAGACACGGUCCAGACUCCUACGGGAGGCAGCAGUGGCGAAUAUUGGACAAUGGGCGCAAGCCUGAUCCAGCCAUACCGCGUGGGUGAAGAAGGCCUUCGGGUUGUAAAGCCCUUUUGUUGGGAAAGAAAAGCAGCAGGUUAAUACCCCGCUGUUCCGACGGUACCCAAAGAAUAAGCACCGGCUAACUUCGUG